GGGUUGUGAGGUUAAGCGACUAAGCGUACACGGUGGAUGCCCUGGCAGUCAGAGGCGAUGAAGGACGUGCUAAUCUGCGAAAAGCGCCGGCGAGGUGAUAUGAACCUUUGACCCGGCGAUGUCCGAAUGGGGAAACCCAGUGUGAUUCGUCACACUAUCGUUAACUGAAUACAUAGGUUAACGAGGCGAACCGGGGGAACUGAAACAUCUAAGUACCCCGAGGAAAAGAAAUCAACCGAGAUUCCCCCAGUAGCGGCGAGCGAACGGGGAGCAGCCCGGAGUCUGAAUCAGCUUGUGUGUUAGUGGAACGGUCUGGAAAGUCCGACGGUACAGGGUGAUAGUCCCGUACAUGAAAGCACACAUGCUGUGAACUCGAAGAGUAAGGCGGGACACGUGGUAUCCUGUCUGAAUAUGGGGGGACCAUCCUCCAAGGCUAAAUACUCCUGACUGACCGAUAGUGAACCAGUACCGUGAGGGAAAGGCGAAAAGAACCCCGGCGAGGGGAGUGAAAAAGAACCUGAAACCGUGUACGUACAAGCAGUGGGAGCACCCUUGUGGUGUGACUGCGUACCUUUUGUAUAAUGGGUCAGCGACUUAUAUUCUGUAGCAAGGUUAACCGUAUAGGGGAGCCGAAGGGAAACCGAGUCUUAACUGGGCGUUAAGUUGCAGGGUAUAGACCCGAAACCCGGUGAUCUAGCCAUGGGCAGGUUGAAGGUUGGGUAACACUAACUGGAGGACCGAACCGACUAAUGUUGAAAAAUUAGCGGAUGACUUGUGGCUGGGGGUGAAAGGCCAAUCAAACCGGGAGAUAGCUGGUUCUCCCCGAAAGCUAUUUAGGUAGCGCCUCGUGAAUUCAUCUCCGGGGGUAGAGCACUGUUUCGGCUAGGGGGCCAUCCCGGCUUACCAACCCGAUGCAAACUGCGAAUACCGGAGAAUGUUAUCACGGGAGACACACGGCGGGUGCUAACGUCCGUCGUGAAGAGGGAAACAACCCAGACCGCCAGCUAAGGUCCCAAAGUCAUGGUUAAGUGGGAAACGAUGUGGGAAGGCACAGACAGCCAGGAUGUUGGCUUAGAAGCAGCCAUCAUUUAAAGAAAGCGUAAUAGCUCACUGGUCGAGUCGGCCUGCGCGGAAGAUGUAACGGGGCUAAACCAUGCACCGAAGCUGCGGCAGCGAC
rnacentral:rRNA from 1 species